rnacentral:rRNA from 1 species
GACGAACGCUGGCGGCGUGCUUAACACAUGCAAGUCGAACGGAAAGGCCCUGCGUGUGUGGGGUGCUCGAGUGGCGAACGGGGGAGGAACACGUGAGUAACCGGCCCUUGACUUUGGUGUAAGUUCAGGAAACUGGGGCUAAUACCGUAUAGGAUCUGCUGUUGCGUUGAGGGGGUGGGAAAGUUUGGGCGGUUGGGGAUGGAUGCGCGGCUUAUGGGCUUGUUGGUGGGGUAGGGGCUUACCAAGGCUUUGACGGGUAGCCGGCCUGGGAGGGUGACCGGCCACAUUGGGACUGAGAUACGGCGCAGACUGCUACGGGAGGCAGCAGUGGGGAAUAUUGCACAAUGGGCGGAAGCCUGAUGCAGCAACGCCGCGUGCGGGAUGACGGCCUUCGGAUUGUAAACCGCUUUCGCCUGUGACGAAGCGUGAGUGACGGUAAUGGGUAAAGAAGCACCGGCUAACUACGUG